AGAGAAAGAGGGUGCCAUUGAUGAAAUAGCCGAGUUCUGCAGCUUGAGCAACCUCAAGAACCUGGAAGUGAACAAAAGCGGCAGCCUCAAAACCAUGAAACGAAAAACCAACUCUUUCUUCAGGAAAGGUGAGGCGGGUGAUUACGUUAAUUUUCUGAGCCCAUCGGCGGUGGAACGUUACAGUAAGAUCGUGGAUGGAAAACUCAGUGGUUCUGGUUUGACCUUCAAAAUGUGUUGUUAAGAUCACAAAAUUAUAUGUUUAUUUAUUGUUAACAUAAUUUUCUAGUAAGUACAUUAAAAUAAGGACGUGGUAAAUGGACCAAUGCUCCCAUUUCCUUCGUUUGCAUCAUGUUUCCAUCUUCUUCUUCUUAUUAUUAUAAACAGGUGAUUGCACCACCGGAUCUUUAAAACAAUGUCCCGGAAUACCAUCCCCGGGAACACCAUUGUAAUUCAAAAUUGCUUUUAAAAAGGUUCUUUUUAAUGAUUUUUAGAAAAUAUGCUUUUAAAAAUGUGGUAAAAUAAUGUUGUAAAAAAAUUUGUGAUUUGUUUGUGGUUGAGGACUACAAUGUCUUCUUUAACAUGAUAAUAAAAAAUUAAAAAUGAAUUAAAUUAUUUUUAUAAACCUAUUGAUAAACAGAUGGCCGUGUAAUUCCAAAAAUCUUUAAAUUCUUUCUUUUGUAACUCUUAUAACCCCUAUAUAAAUAUCUUACUUAUAAUUUUUUUUAGAAGUAAAAUUCUUAUCUAUUAAAGAUUAGAUCUAUCCUCCCUGAUUUUUCAUACGAAGCUUUAGACACAAGAUGCAAAAAGUUUUGCAGGGAGUUUUUAUUUAACGUUUUAUAUUGGAUUUUUUUUUAAAGUCAUGAAUAAUUAUGAUGAUUUUGUUUAAUUUAUUUUAUUUCUAUAUUUUAAGGAUGGUAAAACAUUUAAUAUUAAUAUAAAUUUUGAUCAAAAGUAAUUUUAUGUCAAAUUUUAUGGAUUCCUUGCUGUGCUAUUGAAACUUUAGUAGAAGAUAGGAAAUUUAGGGAAAUUUACAUAUCACAUCACAUGCUUAUAUGUUUUUGUUCAUAAAAAAAUUACAUUUCUUAAUAUAUAUUAUUUGAUAAUUGCUUGGUAAUUACGUUUGGAUGAUGAUAUAUUAAUUUUAAUAUUAAAUUGAUAGAUUUGUAAAUAACGAUCCAUAAUUUUAUCGAUAAUUUUUAUUAAUCAAGACCUAAAGUUUAGUGUUCUUGACUUUGCAUUGGUUCAUAGUCAUCAUUAAACUAAUUGUUUUAUGUGUUUAUUUGAUGGUUUCAAUUUGAAUAUAUAUAUAUUCUAAACUCUAAACAACAUAUGUUUUUGGAUUCUGAAUCAGUAUAAUUUUGAUUCAGUGUUCUUGACGUUGGGGUGUAUCAAUAAGUUAUUUUGAAAAUUUUCUAUUGAUGAAUUUUGAUUGGAUUCAAAGCAUAUAUGAUUGGAGCUUUAUUUGCUUACUUCUUGAAAAAAUUAUCAAGACUCAAUUUUAAACAAGAAAGGUAUAUAAACUUAUUAGAUCUCUAUUUUUACAUUUUUUUUGUCAACAAUAGUGUCUUUAAAUAUUAAAUUGGCCUGUAUUUGAGAUGGUAUUCCUUUUUAAGUUUUGAUUCCAUGGAUUACUUAUUAUUUUAAGCAUGUUAUUUGAUCAUGAAAAUGAAUAUUGAUUGACUUAUUUAUGUCACUGUAAUAGGUUCUAUAAUUAAAUAAUAUAUUUGACUAAAACAUAUUUAGUAGGUAAAAUUGUUUUGCUAAACCAAUAAAUUUUAUGAUUGUUCAUAUUUGAUUUAGUUCAAAUAUAGAUUACGUUCCUCUAAUGUUUCUUCUUUAUUUGGUUAUACAAUUUGAAAAUUUUCAAUACUAGUUCUAAAGACAAUUUUGAGUAAUGUCUAAAUUGAUUUUUGGGUUGAUUCUAAUUUAGAAUUUCAAGUUUAAUCGUUGUCAUUCAUAAUUCUUGAAUUACUUUGGUAGGAAACAUUUUCAUAAAUUUAAAAAUGAAAAUUAUUAUAUUAAUUUGGUCAUUGGUAUUUCUAUGGACCUCGUUUGUAUUAAUCGAUUGUUGUUUGAUAAAAAGCAUAAAAAACCUCUUGUGGUUUAAUUUUGUAAAUGACUUACACUUUUCCUACUAUACAACCCUAAGAAACUUGUUACUUUUGUAGUGCUGUUAAAGGUAGUUCAAACGCUUUAUAUUAUUCUAUUUGUUAAUAAUUUAGAGACAUGAUAUGAUCAAUUAUAAAUGAAAAGGUUUUAGUGAACAUGAAAUGUAUUAUUUUGAAGUAAAUUUCAUGCAUGUCUACAAUUGUUUAUGAAAUUUUUUCUAGCACUAGAUUAUAUUAAGUUUGCUAUUUUAAAAGUCAAUUUUAUGCAUACAUUUGGUUUACAAUAACUCCAUGGAUGACUUGAUUAUUUCUUUCUAGUUAAUUGAUGAUGCAAAACUCUUGUGAAAAGGAUUUUGAAAGUAUUAUGAAUUUAUCUCACACAUUCUUAUGGCUAAAAAAAAAUGAGUUUGUAACGCCCCUAACCCGAAUCCGUCGCCAGAAUAGGGUUAUAGAGCAUUACCAAAGUUUACAUAUUAAUUAUUAGACAUUUCAUUUCAUCUAGCAUUCAUAUUUGAAAUCAAUCAAAAUCAUACAUAUUGUCCCUUAAACGAGCCCUCGAGGCCUAAAUUUACGCAUUAGAAACACAUAAGGACUAAGUCGAAAACUCAGAAAAAUUUUCAAAAAUAUUUAAAGUUUCCAACACUGUAGGGGUCACACAGCCGUGUUUCAGCUUGUGUCUGUACCCGUGUGAGUAUACUGACUUGGGCCACACGCCCGUGUGCUAGGCCGUGUGAGCAUUCUAUUUGUGAAAAUUUAAGACACAGAGGACAUACGGCCGUGUCACCUGGCUGUGUGUCACACACGGUUGAGACACAUGCCCGUGUGGAUGAAAAUAAGCCAUUUUACAAGCCAUAUUUCUCACCCAAUUUUGUGUCUAUCUACAAUCAACAUUACACAUAUCAACAAGGCAUAAUUAGACGUUCAAAACAAGCCAAAAUAAGUCGCUAAACUCAACACAUUACAUAUAAGGCAUCAUUAGACAAAAUACCUAUACAUGCCAUUAUAACCAAAAUCAAAAUAUUCGAAAAUACCGAUAAAACCGAUGGAUAGUGUGAUAUAUCUACCACAAGCUUCCAACCUAAUCGAGCUUCCGGUAAUCUGAAAAGUAGAAGAAAACAAAUACAUAAGCAAUGAAUGCUUAGUAAGCUCAUAUAAACUUUAAUCAUAAUACUUCCUUUUCAAAUAUGAAAUUUAUACUUAUCAAGAAUAAUCUAAUAUUGCUACCACAAUACUCAUGAAGUUAUAUUUAACAACUCACUAAGUGAAUAAAGCUACAGUAUCACUUAUACAUAAUAUUCCUAGCAUAGUAGGAUUUUAAACAACUUUAACUCUUCCAAAAUUUCUUUAUUUUCAUUUGCGUUUCUUUACUUUCCACACUCAUUGCAUAUGCAUAACACACAAGUCAUAAGCACAUCAUUCAACCAUAGAUACAGGCUAGUACAUUUAAACAUAGUCCUUUUUUGAAUUAAUCACACGAUAACUCAUUUUAUAAGAAAUUGCAUAACUUAAAAUUUACUACUCUUUCAUGAACACAAGUAUAUUUUCACUUGAGCACUUACCCUUUCAACGCAUCAUAUAAUAAACAUAUUACCAUUUAACCAGUAACUUGGCACUUGUCUAAGCGUCAACAACAGCACUUGUUAGCAUACUUGAACAUAUUUCAUAUUUCAUAACCAGAAGGGUUCCGGACCUUUCUGGGACCAUGUUCUUGAUUACUGGAAACAAUCAACGGCAAACCAAACAAGGCCUUGUUCCUCAAAUACGAAGAAAUGAAAGGAAACCCAGUGGGUCAAAUAAAAAAGAUGGCGGAGUUCAUGGGAUGUCCGUUCUCAGAGGAGGAAGAGAAAGCGGGUGCCAUUGAUGAAAUAGCCGAGUUCUACAGCUUGAGCAACCUCAAGAAC
rnacentral:lncRNA from 1 species